UGGUAACUUUCUUUUUUUUUUUUUUUUUUUUUUUUUUUUUUUUUUUGCUGUGUAGAAGCUCUUUAGUUUUAUUUGAACCCAUCUAUCAAUUUUUGCUUUUAUUGCAAUUGCUUUUGGCAUGCUGGUCAUGAGGUCCUUUCCUGUUCCUAUUUUCAGAAUAGUAUUGCCUAGAUUGUCUUCCAGGGUUUUUAUAGUUUUGGAUUUUAUGUUUAAGUCUUUCAUCUAUCUUGAGUUUAUUUUUGUAUACAGUGUAAGGAAG
rnacentral:lncRNA from 1 species